AUUGAACGCUGGCGGCAGGCCUAACACAUGCAAGUCGAGCGGUAGAGAGAAGCUUGCUUCUCUUGAGAGCGGCGGACGGGUGAGUAAUGCCUAGGAAUCUGCCUGGUAGUGGGGGAUAACGUUCGGAAGCGAACGCUAAUACCGCAUACGUCCUACGGGAGAAAGCAGGGGACCUUCGGGCCUUGCGCUAUCAGAUGAGCCUAGGUCGGAUUAGCUAGUUGGUGAGGUAAUGGCUCACCAAGGCGACGAUCCGUAACUGGUCUGAGAGGAUGAUCAGUCACACUGGAACUGAGACACGGUCCAGACUCCUACGGGAGGCAGCAGUGGGAAUAUUGGACAAUGGGCGAAAGCCUGAUCCAGCCAUGCCGCGUGUGUGAAGAAGGUCUUCGGAUUGUAAAGCACUUUAAGUUGGGAGGAAGGGCAGUUACCUAAUACGUGAUUGUUUGACGUUACCGACAGAAUAAG
rnacentral:rRNA from 1 species